AUUUUCACUAACACGAGCAUUAAUGCAUUGGAUCCCAUCGAAACUUCGCAGUUAAGCGCACUUGGGCUAGAGUAGUAUUGGGAUGGGUGACCUCUUGGGAAGUCCUAGUGUUGCACCCU
rfam:Picea glauca, whole genome shotgun sequence.